rnacentral:rRNA from 1 species
AACGAACGUUGGCGGCGUGGAUUAGGCAUGCAAGUCGGGGGAAUCCCAGCAAUGGGGGAACCGGCGUAAGGGGCAGUAAGGCAUGGGUACCUACCUUUGGGUUCGGGAUAGCCAUCAGAGAUGGUGGGUAAUACCGGAUGACGUCGUGAGACCAAAGAUUUAUCGCCCGAAGAGGGGCCCAUGUGAUAUUAGCUAGUUGGUGAGGUAAUGGCUCACCAAGGCUAAGAUGUCUAGCGGGUGUGAGAGCACGACCCGCGCCACUCGCACUGAGACACUGGCGAGACACCUACGGGUGGCUGCAGUCGAGGAUCUUCGGGCAAUGAGCGCAAGCUUGACGGAGCGACGCCGCGUGAGCGAUGAA